rnacentral:lncRNA from 1 species
CUUUUCUGCUAUUUAUCCAUCUUGUUUUAUUACAUUAACUAAAUUAUCGUAAAUGAAAGACAACUCAUACUGCUUCGGAAAUGAUUGGACGUUAUUCUCGUAUACUCACCCUUCAUUUCAACCCUGGCUACGCAACUGCCUUGUUACAUUUGGGUACAUCCGAGUUUAAAUGCUACGAACAUAUAUUUAUUUAUAUUUUUGGGGCCAAAAUGAUGUGGAUGCUUGAGCAUCUGAGCAUACAUGCAACCUACG